rnacentral:rRNA from 1 species
UACGUAGGGACCGAGCGUUGUCCGGAUUCAUUGGGCGUAAAGAGCUCGUAGGCGGCUGCUCAAGUCGAAUGUGAAAACUCGAGGCUCAACCUCGAGCCUGCAUUCGAUACUGGGCGGCUAGAGUCUGGUAGGGGGAUCUGGAAUUCCUGGUGUAGCGGUGAAAUGCGCAGAUAUCAGGAAGAACACCAAUGGCGAAGGCAGCUCUCUGGGACGGUACUGACGCUGAGGAGCGAAAGCGUGGGGAGCGAACAGG